UACGCAAUUUGCCUACUUCCGCAAGAGGAUCUUAUAUAAAGCACCAAUCAUUGCAACAGCCUGUAUACUUGGUUUGGUGUUAUACAAGUGAGUAUUCUAAAGGAAAUAUUGAAUUGAAAGAUUUCUACGAUGAAGACCUUCACUGUCUGUCUUAUCCUGGCGCUGAUUGUGGCCUUCGGUACCUGCUCAGAUCCACAUGGGGAAAAUGAGAAUGAUAUUGGACGCAAGACAUUUUGCGAUUAUCCUGGAUGUACCUGCUAUUACUACAAAGAUCCCUGUCCCGAAGGUUACUAUGACUGCUCGAGCACAAGAUACUGUACAUUAAAGACCAACAAACCGUGCUGCUACUAAACCCACGAAUAAUCAUCAGCUGCCAUAUGAACUGUUAUUGUAACUGGUGAUUCUUGACCUGGCUUUUUGGUGCAGUUAAAAAUUAUUACUUUAUAUGUUACUGUUCUAGUGAUGAUCAAAUGUGCUUAGAUAGAUGUUGCGUUGUACAAUUCGCAAAUACAAAUUGGGGUUUCACACGAAAUAAAUGUUAAAUGAUAUUA